UUUCCAUGGGAAACAUUACUUCUAUUCCCAUCCCUCUCCCCUAGCUUAUCUCUUGAAUAACCUAAAACCUCUUAAUCUCUAUCCAGAUCUGAACUCUAAAUGUCUAAUAUUCUUCUGCAACACCACAUGACCACAAUACAAACUGGACAAUGGCCCACUGUGGCCAGAAAAUGGCACUUUUAAUUUCUGUAUUCUACAGGAUUUAGAAAAUUACUGCUGGAGGCUGAGCAGAUGAUCAAAGGUUUAUGCGGAUGAACACAGAUGCCUUCAGCCCGACCUUCCUGAAGGCACUGCAGCUGUUCCUCUGGAAGACCCAAAUUGGAACUAUCAGAUGUUGGCUUGGCAACCAAAGAUGGAUGCUACCCAGAAGCCUUGGAGCCCCCUGGACCAUCUUGGAUGCUGAACUCCAGGAACUGUAUGGACAAAUUGGUGUGAACUGCGCCCACAGAGAGUUACAGUGGAAUUUCCAUACAGUCACCAGAGAUAAAUGUGUCAGAGACUUGGUGAUGAGCCAGGAGAAACUGAAGUAACAGCUGGGUGGUCUUAGGAUCUUUGGUGAGAAGAGCUGUUUAGCAGGACCUCCUAAACACUUGGUGCAACUCUUACAGUUGCAACUCUUACAGUUGGAGCUUAGUAUCAGAAAACUCAUCUCCAUUGGUACAGAGUAAUGUGAUAUGAUAAAGACCGGGAACUUUGGAGUCCAAGUCACCUGUGUUCAAAGCUCCCAUCUCAGCCACUUUCUAGUUAUGUUGUGGUAGUUAAUUUUAUGUGUCAAACUGCUUGGGCCGGGAGGAGCCCAGGCAUGUAGUUCACCAUUAUUCUCGGUGUUUCUGGGAGCGUCGAUUUGGAUGAUAGCAACAUUUGAGUCUGCAAACUGAGCCAGGCAGAUUUCUACAGGGUGUGGGUGCCUCGAUCUGCUGACGUCCUGAAUAAAGCGCUGAGGAAGGGAGAACUCACUCUACUUGAUGGUCUCUGAGCUGGAUCCGUCUUCAAUCUGCAGCCUCAGACACAGACUGAAACUUAGAUCUUCAGCUCUCCUAUGUUUCCAGCUUGCCAACUGCAGCUCUUGGGACUUUUCAUCCUCUUUAAUUGUAUUGCAGCAGCAAACAGAAACACCAAAACGACACCCAGGAUUUGGAGGCAGAUUUAUUUACAUCGAUGGUCACUGACUGGGAUCAUUGUCAGAAUAUCAGGCCCUGAUCUCUGGUGGUCUAGGGCUUGUAUGAGAUAAGCAAGCAGGAAGUGCAGAGGCAGAAUGGCUUGUCAGCUGGGGACUGGUUCUUACAAUAUGCAUCAGAGUGACCAGCCGUUUGUAAGAGACAGAAGCAAACAGAACUGGAACAGGAACUAGUGCUUGGGCAGCUAAGAAACCGAAGUCUACUGGUGGGGAGGGGGUGUGCAUUUUCUGUUACCGCAUAAGACAACUCCUUGUAAUAAAUCUUUUUUUAAAAUAAGGAGUUCUCUGUUUUUUUCUUUUUUUCUGAAGAACCAAGAUGAAAACAUAUAUAACAUGGAUAAGCUUAUUAAUCUCUCAAUUUCCUGAUUUACAAAGCACAAAAUAUUGCAGAUCACCGAGGAAAAUAUUUAUGAUAUUCCUGUCACAUUUAUAAGCAUUCAAUACAUCAUAUCAAUUAUUGUGAGUAUUUCGCAUAGACUUUCUACAUGAUUGUUCCCAAAAAUUAUUUUGUGCUCAGUAUUUCAG
ensembl:lincRNA